UAGGCCUAACACAUGCAAGUCGUACGGCAGCACGGGUGCUUGCACCUGGUGGCGAGUGGCGAACGGGUGAGUGAUACAUCGGAACGUACCUUAUCGUGGGGGAUAACGCAGCGAAAGUUGCGCUAAUACCGCAUACGCCCUGAGGGGGAAAGCGGGGGACCGUAAGGCCUCGCGCGAUUAGAGCGGCCGAUGUCUGAUUAGCUUGUUGGUGAGGUAAAAGCUCACCAAGGCGAUGAUCAGUAGCUGGUCUGAGAGGACGAUCAGCCACACUGGGACUGAGACACGGCCCAGACUCCUACGGGAGGCAGCGGUGGGGAAUUUUGGACAAUGGGGGCAACCCUGAUCCAGCAAUGCCGCGUGAGUGAAGAAGGCCUUCGGGUUGUAAAGCACGGUGUCAGGGAAGAAACAGCAGCUCUAACACAGUUUGCGAAUGAC
rnacentral:rRNA from 1 species